UGUCCGCCCACGCGCGUUCAGCAUGCGCCCGGGGACCUGCGGGACCAGAAAGACAGAGAAGACCUCUUGGACCAGCAGGAGACGUCACAGGACUCAUCCACCUGCGGAUUAAGCUGGGAAGACUCUCAGACAAGACAAGCUGCAAAGAAGCUUCUGAGACCAGAUCAGACCAGCUGCUGGGAGAAGCGGGAACCAGCAGACUUUUGGAACAGUCACUUGGAAAGGACUCUCUACAAUCUGUGUCCGUCUUUCCUCUUCUGUUCAGCUUAGUGUGAUAAUCUCCCAAUCACAUUGCUUGACCUCUAAAA